rnacentral:rRNA from 1 species
UUCAAGUUUUGUACUCAAUAUAUACUUGCUUUCAAGGCUCAAUAAUACAUCCAUCAUAUUCCACGACAAUCCUUAUCUCUCUCUUGUAACAGUCACGACCACGACGGCGGCGGCGCCGUGCCCAGGCAGCGGUCCAUUGCAAACACAUUACUAAUACCCACGCAGCGCGUGCGGUCCAAUAAUAAACCCAGCGCGUGCGGUCCACGACUCGGCGGCGGCGCCGUGCCCAGGCCGCGAGCACGGGCACACAGCGCUUCGAGAGGCCUCCCUCCCGCGACUGAAGAUCAUCCCUCUCGGGCGCACCCCACGCGCGAUGGCGGAGGCGCCUCUGCUGCCGCGGAAGGACCAGGAGGCGACGGGGUACUGGCGGAGCGAGGCCAGGAAGCUGGCGUACCUGGCGCUGCCGAUGGUGGCCGUGAGCCUGUCGCAGUACGCGGUGCAGGUGUCCUCCAACAUGAUGGUCGGCCACCUCCCCGGCGUCCUCCCGCUCUCCUCCGC